rnacentral:rRNA from 1 species
UUAUAUGUACAUGCCUACAUAUUUAAUGCAUCGGAUCCCAUUAGAACUUCGUAGUUAAGUGUGCUUGGGCUAGAGUAGUACUGGGAUUGGUACCCUCCUGGGAAGUCCUAGUGUUUUACAUGCC